rnacentral:rRNA from 1 species
AUUGAACGCUGGCGGCAGGCUUAACACAUGCAAGUCGCGCGAGCGGCGGACGGGUGAGUAAUGUCUGGGAAACUGCCUGAUGGAGGGGGAUAACUACUGGAAACGGUAGCUAUUACCGAAUACCAUCAGAUGUGCCCAGAUGGGAUUAGCUAGUCGGUGGGGUAAUGGCUCACCUAGGCGACGAUCCCUCGCUGGUCUGAGAGGAUGACCAGCCCCAAUGCAGCUGAGACACGGUCCAGACUCCUACGGGAGGCAGCAGUGGGGAUUAUUGCACAAUGGGCGCAAGCCUGAUGCAGCCAUGCCGCGUGUGUGAAGAAGGCCGUCGGGUUGUAAAGCACUUUCAACGAGGAGGCGUUGCUCGCAGAAGAAGCACCGGCUAACUCCGUGCCAGCAGCCGCGGUAAUUC